CCGACUUUUGCCCAACUUUUGUUGAACAUUUGCCCGACUUUUCGACUUUGUAAUCUUUUGGGGGGGGGCAGCUGCCCCCCCUGCCCCUUCCCCCGUCCCGUACGCCUAUGAAUGUAUCUGACUUUUUAGGUCAACGAUUACGAAUGCAAACGUCUCUAUGGUUGCGAAGAAAAAUCUUUAAUCUUUAAUUAAAAUUCUUUACACAUGGUAGCCUAUUCGGCGGAUAAUUAUUUACAAAACUGGUUUUCAAAGGGCCGUGUAUCUAUCAAUAUACUAAGCUAUGAAACACACUAAUAUAUAUGAAUUGGAAAAAUAGGACACAAGUAAAAUGAAUUCCC